GACGAACGCUGGCGGCGUGCCUAACACAUGCAAGUCGAACGAAGUGGCGAACGGGUGAGUAAUACGUGAGUAACCUGCCCUCCUUUUUGGGAUAAGCCUUGGAAACGGGGUCUAAUACCGGAUAAAGGGGGAUGGGCUCGCGGCCUAUCAGCUUGUUGGUGGGGUGAUGGACUCACAAGGCGGUGACGGGUAGCCGGCCUGCGAGGGUGACACGCGAAAUUGGGACUGAGAUACGGCCCAGACGCCUACAGGAGGAAGCAGUGGGGGAUAAUGCACAAUAGGCGAAAGCCUGAUGGAGGGACGCCGCGUGGAGGAUGAAGGCUGUCGGGUCGUAAACCUCUUUCGGUAUCGGACGGUUAGGUGGAGAAGAAGCGCCGGCUAACUACGUGCCAGCAGCCGCGGUAAUUC
rnacentral:rRNA from 1 species